rnacentral:rRNA from 1 species
GACGAACGCUGGCGGCGUGCUUAACACAUGCAAGUCGAACGGAAAGGCCUGCUUUCCCUUGUGGAUUGCGGGUACUCGAGCGGCGAACGGGUGAGUAACACGUGAGUGAUCUGCCCCCGACUUAGGUAUAAGCAUGGGAAACUGGGCCUAAUUACCGAUAGGACUGCAGGGUGGUGCCUGUGGUGGAAAACGUUCUUCUAGUGGUUGUGGGUGCGCUCCCGCCCUAUCAGCUUGUUGGUGGGGUAAUUGCCUACCAAGGCGGCGACGGGAAGCCAGCCUGGGAGGGUGCACGGCCACAUUGAGACUGGGUUCCGACCCAGACGCCUACGAGAGGUAGGAGAUGGUACGAUUUGACAGAGGGCGGAAGGCUGAAGCACCGACGCAGCGAGGGAGAUGACGGGCUUCGAGAUGUAAACUACUUGCGACCGAGAAGUAUCCACCUGGUUGGAAGGGUGUUGACGGUAGUGGUAGAAGAAGCACCGGCUAACUACGUG